CACGUAGGGGGCAAGCGUUGUCCGGAUUUACUGGGCGUAAAGGGCGCGUAGGCGGCGCAACAAGUCACUUGUGAAAUCUCCGGGCUUAACCCGGAGCGGUCAAGUGAUACUGUCGUGCUAGAGUGCGGAAGGGGCUACUGGAAUUCUCGGUGUAGCGGUGAAAUGCGUAGAUAUCGAGAGGAACACCCUGCGGCGAAGGCGGGUAGCUGGGCCGACACUGACGCUGAUGCGCGAAAGCCAGGGGAGCGAACGGG
rnacentral:rRNA from 1 species